GUGCUUGCUUCAGCAGCACAUAUACUAAAAUUGAAAUGAUACAGAGAAAAUUAGCAUGGCCCCUGUGCAAGGAUGACUCAAGAAGAUAUGAAAGUAGAAAUGAGAAAACUUU